AUUCAACAAAAUGGAAGGGUCCCCUGAGACAUGGGCAAAGACAUCUACUGGGUUGUGCAUCCCUCUUUAGGGAGACCCCUGGCCAUCCUCCAGCCAGGCCCCCUCCCAAAGGACAAAGACUCCAGGACAGCUCCAAACAGGCCAUGACAGUGAGCAAUGUAUAUACAUGGAGCCUGGGAUCUAUGCCAUAUCAACACCGGUUUCUGGGGCCUGUGCUGGCAUCUUCUCUAGCAUUUUCUCAGUAUGAAGAUACAGUUCACUAUGUCUGGAAGGCAAGACAGCAGGAACAUGAGGGAGCUGUUCACACUGCAUCUGCAGUCAGGAAGCCGAGAGAGAGCAGGGAAUGCUGGUCCUCAGCUACCUCACUCCUCUUUCCACUUGUUCAGCACAAGAUCCCAGCCCAUGAGAUGCUGCCACUCAUGUUCGGGUUCAUGGGGUCAUCCACACAUUUAAUCCUGGCUCUUGAGGGAUGAGGGCGUAGAGGCAGGAUGAUCAUCCUCAACAACUCGAUGAAUUCAGCUGUAUACCUAACUUGAGGAUUCGGGUCUUCAGAUGGCACAAACAGGAAGAUGGGUAGAAAUAUGGGCACACUGUGGAUUCAUGAGCAACUACAUUGCGGGAAACCUGUGAAAAGUGUGUCUUGGUGGUUCUAGUUUACUCAUUAAUAUAAUAAACAAACUGUGGGCUGAAUG
rnacentral:lncRNA from 1 species